rnacentral:rRNA from 1 species
GAUGAACGCUGGCGGCGUGCUUAACACAUGCAAGUCGAACGGAAAGGCCAGUGCUUGCACUGGUGCUCGAGUGGCGAACGGGUGAGUAACACGUGGGUGAUCUGCCCUGCACUUUGGGAUAAGCCUGGGAAACUGGGUCUAAUACCAGAUAGGACCAUGCUUUGGAUGGUGUGGUGGAAAGUUUUUUCGGUGUGGGAUGAGGUUGCGGCCUAUCAGCUUGUUGGUGGGGUAAUGGCCUACCAAGGCGUCGACGGGUAGCCGGCCUGGGAGGGUGUACGGCCACAUUGGGACUGGGAUACGGCCCAGACUCCUACGGGAGGGAGCAGUGGGGAAUAUUGCACAAUGGGCGCAAGCCUGAUGCAGCGACGCCGCGUGGGGGAUGACGGCCUUCGGGUUGUAAACUCCUUUCGCAACUGACGAAGCUUUUUGUGACGGUAGGUUGAGAAGAAGCACCGGCUAACUACGUG